rnacentral:misc_RNA from 1 species
AACGCACAUUGCGCCCGCCAGCAUUCUGGCGGGCAUGCCUGUUCGAGCGUCAUUUCAACCAUCAAGCCCCCGUGGCUUGUGUUGGGGACCUGCGGCUGCUCCGCAGGCCCUGAAAUACAGUGGCGGGCUCGCUAGUCACACCGAGCGUAGUAGACAUUUUAUCUCGCUCAGGGCGUGCUGCGGGUUCCGGCCGUUAAACCCCCCACCUUCUAACCCAAGGUUGACCUCGGAUCAGGUAGGAAGACCCGCUGAACUUAA